GCGCAAUAGCCUCACAAUGCAUUGGAUUGGCUGAGAUCAUCAACUCUCACGAGUCGGAUCCAGGGUAGGGCCAGCAGCGAGGAGACCCACUUGGCGCUGGGAAAAAUGGGGGUAAGGAUGGUGUUGACCUAAAUGGCUAUUUUAAACCUGUACACGUUUGUAUUCCUGACACUAUAGUGUCCCAUUAAGGUGUAACAUUUAAUGGUCUCCAUAAAGAUUAGUCUGGUAACUAGUGAGUAAGCACAUGGCAAAACAUCAUGUCAUUUUUAGGGCAGAGAGGAGUAUAAGCCUCUCGCCCAGCUGGCGCCUAAGCCACUCCAUCUUGCUGGCGUAUAAACCACCCCUUUUGGCUGGUGUAAAAUUCACUCCCCUUGACAGGGGUUGGAGCCACUGUUACCGGAGGAAUAACAGAAACAAACCGCAGAAGCCACACAUUGAGAUAUGGACACAAGUCUUUAGGAAGUAACAGGUCUUUUAUUUACACACCGAUCGGGUCUCACACUGAACUUGUGUUCAAAAGGUAUGAGCCCAGAGCAUAGUUUGAACAGGCUAUUUAUUAACAAUAACUCCUCUCAUUCAUAGCUCCACUCACACAUACCCUUAGACCAAUCAGUAAACAGGAUAUUCAGGAUCACCUAAUAUGGGCAGACCUUAUGACUCAUUUUAAGGACAAAGGAAUGUGAAUACAGUUGAUGCACAUGCUCAGUACAUUGAUGACAGUAUCUUAGCUACAUGUAACUAACUAACAGAUACAACAAACACCUGUACUUGUAUAUGCCACAUGGAGAUUUCAGGCUUACUAAAUUUUGAACCAUGUUGAAAUCCCAUCACACCACUUCUGUGUGAUGAAUAAUAAUAAUAAAAAGUAUAUAUAUUUUUUUCUGUUUAUGUUCAAUGUGCUUGGAAGAUUUCAUGCUAGUCCUGGUUUUUAUCGUUGAACUAAAUUGCCCAUGAAAUUAAGAUUUGUGUUUUUUCAGCCUCCUUGUGCUGUGAGGGGGUCAAUCGAUGUUCUCGCCUGGAAGUCAUGACUUUGGGGAUGGCAUUUAACUAAUUGUCUCUUCUGUGUGGUGGCUUUGGAUCCUGUGUGAAGUUAAAUAACAGGAACCUUUGCAUAUUCUUUGGUUAGUGCUCGAUGUAGUUUUUAAUUAAAUGACCAAUCGAACAGCAUAAUAACUGUUUGUUGCAUAAGCCAUGAUGCAGUGCGGUCCCAAGUCACUGUCUCCUCGCUCAUGGUGGGGGGGGGAGGAAGGGGUUAUUUAUCGCUUAGUUCUGAAUAAAAGAAUAAAUGUGAUAAAUACAAAUUUUAUUUAUUUAUGGCUGCUCCUUCUCCAUUUAUCUAGGUCUCCGUCCUUCAUUCAAUAUAUUUGAGGCACUUUGGAAAGUAUGGUUGUAGCUAAAGAGGCACCGAUUUUUCGGCCGAAAAUGGGCCUAUCCCGUUUUGGCCGAAAACAGGUCAAAUUUGCUGAAAUUAAAUAAUUUUGUAGUGCAUAGUUUAACAUACAUUCUUGCAUUAACAAUUCAGAAGAUUAUAAAUCACAGUGAAAAAUAGUAAUGAUAACAUGAAAAGUCAAGAAUACUGCACUUGGGACGGGGGGGAAGAACACUAUGGGACAGGGGAGGGGGAGAGAAAAGAACACUGGGACAAGGGUGGGAAAGAACACUAUAGGACAGGGGAGGGGGGAGAAAAGAACACUAUGGGACAAGGGAGGGAGUAAAGAAUACUACCGGACAGGAGUGGGGGAGAACACUAUAGGAUGGGGGAAGAACACUAUAGGACAAGGGGGGGUUAGAACACUAGGACAGGGGAUGGGAGAAAAUAACACAAUGGGACAGGGGGGACACUAUGGAACUGGGGAGGAGGGGGGAAAGAACACUAAAAAAGAGGAAGGGGAGAGGAACACUAGAGGGGGAAGAGAGGAACAUUAAGGGGGGGGGAUCACUAAAAGAGAAGAGAGAAGGGAAGUUUUUUAUAUCAGAUUAAUUAAAUUCAUUAAAAUGUCUAAUAUUAAUAAAAUCAUAGGAAAAAAUCUUUUAAAAAAUCUUUUUGGGGAAAAAAAAGUCAUUUUUUGGUUUCGGCCCAAAAUUUUCGUUUCGUUGCAUCCCUAGUUGUAGCCAGUAUCCAGUUGGACUACAAAACUUAUAAUGCCCUGCAUAGUUUAUUCUGAUACUCCACCAAUACUGUUUUCCACUUGGCUACAAAGUGACUAAAGCACUCUGAAUGUAUUCAUGUAGGAAACAACGUACUGGUAUUUUUGCUUAAAGGAACUGGUCAGUGUAGUAGCUAUGUUGUCUGUGUUGUUAACAGUGUGUAAUUCAAGUACAAAUAUUUUGUUUCAUAUAGUCUCGGAAUGAUUUGACAAAAUACAGGACUCUCCACUGAUUCUGGAGACCUUCCCAUCCUGUGUUUGAUUUAUAAUUCGGAAAAUGCCCAACAGCGAUAGGUUGAGAACCCAGGGGGUGAUUGUGUUGACAUUUAGAAUGCCAAAGUGUAAAUUUGGCAAUGUCAAUGCUGCCAACUAGGGGAGUGCACUUACAUGAUUUAUUAAAAAUUCAAAAAGACAAUGCAGUGGAAGUUUUGGCAACAUAACAAGUAAACUGAGCUGCUUAUAGUGACCCUUUAAUGGGUUAAAAAAAAACAAUUCUCUCUUAAAGGAACCGUUAUAUCAGACUUAUAAUGCUGCUAUUUUUCUACAUAGUGUGCUAGUCUAUUAGGUGCUUUGUUUUUUUGCCUUUUUUUGCCAAGGUGCUAAAUUCUUUUACAGAAGAUAAACUAUAAAGAUGCUAUCAGUAUGAACUGGGCACACCUGCCUUGUGGCAGGUAAUUAGGAGAAGGUCACAGAGUUCUUGUAGCUCCUUGUUCUGGCAGACCAGUUCUUCUAGUAAAUAUUAGAUAUCUAUUCAUUUAGAAAUUUACUAUGCUUAUGCCUUGAUAGGAUACAGAUUUUGUCAUCCUUGAGUUUUGUUCACGAUGGAAUCCUCCUACUACAGUGAUGAGCAAUGGUAGCUGCCCAGAUAAUGACACUUCUCUGCUAGCAGAAAUAUUGGAAAAGAUCAAUGGAGGUAGUAGUUAAUCUCUGGAUCUACCCCUACUAUAAUGGCAUCCCCAAACUGUGUAUUAAAGAGCUUUACAGCCCACACCAUGAGAAUCAAAUUCUCUGCUAUUGUCAAUCACAAAAGUUCUUGUCCUGGACUACAGGAAACAAAUAAAGAAUACCAUGCCUGAAUGGACACCUAAGUGGCGGAACUGUAAUUAUGCUCAGAAUAAAAGCAUCACCUUGAUUCAUUUUCUGUCGUUCCAAAGCUAUCACAAUUAUGCUUUUUACUGUUAAAACAAGAAAUCAGUAUAUAAUUGGACAGAUGAAAAACUAUUGCGGUAUUAUAAAUAACAACGAAUGCAAUACAGCACACAUAAAUUCUACAGAAAAGACAAACAGACCAGGUGCUAUUUUCCAUCCAAUUAUCAUUCUCUGGGAUUACUGAGAAACAGGGAUUGGUAUGUAAAUAGGCCGUAUUCCACUAGUUUCACACCAAGGCAAAUCCUGAAUGAAACUAAUAUGCAUUCAGUGCUUCCUCCCACCACGUCUAAGGAAUUCACAUUAAAUUACAACAAUCACAUAAUUUUCUGUCAAUAAAGCUUGAUGUGUUAGUCAUUAAAGACAAGUGUUCAUUGACUGUAAUCUGUUCCUAGGAUAGUGUGAGUCACAGGCAUGUGUAGGGACUCGAGUCAGACAUUUACCGGUAUAAUUAAGAAGACAUCCUGGAAAUGUCAUAUUUACUUCUAAUGAAAUGACUGCAUCUAGUACUGAAUAUUAAGGUAUGGGUUGAUUCAGGUCUACAAAUAUAACUUUCUACAAUUCAUUAAUUGUCAGUAAAAUAUUUCACCUUAAUGCUGCUGAUAUAAGACAUGUCCACACCUCUAUUAUUGUAUGGGCUUUAUGUCAGACUUAGGAGACCCUCUAUUGGCUGAGAUUAAACCUGGAGACCGAUAGGAGUACUUCCUAAAAAGGUACACAUUUAAUUUCCUUAAUGAACCUGAAGAGUCUAAAGUUUUAAGGUCAAAAGGGCUUGAAGAAUUGUGGUCAAGUGUGGUUGGACGAUGAAGGCAGGGAAGCAAAGACUUGUAAUCUAUAUUAUAAAUCCAGAUUGGAUAUUCAGAAAGCAGAAACACAGGAAGGGUCCAAAGGAUAGUUGGCUUGCAGGCUAAACUAUAAACACAGGGGCAGCAGAAUAUUUUGUCGAUAUAGACCGAUUGGAUGGACCAAUGCUAGAGCACAGAUACAACACAAGAAAACAAGUAGCCUACGUUACUGAGCUACGGGACAUCAUUAAAAGAUGCCAAGUGUACUAAUAUCAACCUGUGGCGCCAUAGAGAAUCGUGCACACCAGCAGCCUCAGAGUAGGUACCCCAAGCCUUGAGAAGCCAGUGACACGGGUAAGUGGUCCCACAUAUGCAUGUUUCCAAAACACUUGGCAAAACGGAUAAAAUACAGCAAGAAAUUAAGGAAAACAAAAGGAGAGAAAGCUGAACAAAAUGAAAAAUGAGAGAAGUCUUUGAAAAAUGGACAGGAGCUGAGUAGAAAAUAGUGGGAAAACAAAAGAAGGGACCAUUGUUUGAAUUCUGAAGCAACACUGAUAGACAUUGAUACCAUGGUCGCCAAAAAGUGAAAGCUUUCCUUCAAAGUUGCAAGAUAAAUAUAAUUUAAGGUGCUGUUAGAUUAAUCAUAGAGUAAUCAUACCCAUUUUAAAUGUCACAAAUACGUUUUUGUGCUUCUUGAUCACUGUUUAAAGGGCAUAGUUACUUUUAAAUAAAUACUCUGGAAGAAGAUCCAACUCUUUGAGCGACCAGAAGAAAGUCUUUGGGAAGGUAUUCCACACCUGGACUUCUGGGUUCUAGCAAUUGAUCUAUCUGCCAGGAAUGUUUAGGUUUAAUAAUUCCCCCCUUCAGUUUCUUCGGUUAUUUAAUUGAUUAUUUCUAGAGCACUUACAAAUUCUUCAAAGUGAUAUUCAUUGACAUGUACGAGAAAUCUGGGUGGUCAGGUGAUUUUGUGACUUGUUGAGAAAGGAAAUUGCAGAUAUUCGGCUAAAGUGUCCACACUAGAAAAAUUUCACUCAGACAUUUUCAUUCCCCUUGGUAUUCCUACACCAUUCUUGAAUUAGAAAAACAAAUGCAGUGUCCUUACAGGCAAUUUCAAAACUAACAAAAAAAUUGGAAUUGAAAUAAAGAAAUUGGAAUUGAAAAAAUUCAUUUUUCCGAUUCUGCCUUUUUGGCCUGGACCUAAAAAUGAAAAUUGAUUGUCAAGUUUCUACAACUCACUGUUCAAUGAAUAAAUGCAGGACAUUUCCCAAACAUCUCUAUGUCUGUAAAAGAUCAAUUAUAUGUGUUGCUCUAUUAAAUACAAGGUGGAUGUGGGUGAUGAAACAACCCAAGAGGUUUCUACAAUUUGUACUUCGAAGUUCUUGUACCUUCAUUAAUUGUCCAAAAAAAGACCAAUCACUCUUGCGUGAGAAAAUAAAUUCAUUCUUCCCCUUAUGACUCAUGUUUUAUUGAACAAAUUCUUUAGGUCUUAGCAGCGAUUCAACCUGCAGACUCCUGUUCAUUAUUAGAACUUCGAGACUGAAUCAAAUUAAAAUCUACCAACUUGCAAACGAACAGAAUUAAUCCUCUGCUACUAAAAGAGGUGAUGUAGAGGUCACCGCUAUAAUAUCUUCCCCCUCCCCAAUUAAGCUCCACUGCAGAUAUAAAUCAAAUUUGCUCACACAUGAAGAACUUCUGUUUUAUUUAUCACCCAAUUGUUUUAUUUAGGAUUCUUCAUUGGAAUAUUUAUUAUAACAGAGCAGUUUCAAUGUAACGCGUUCUGGAAAUAUAAAAGUUUCAUGAGACAUAGUGAUUCAUCGUCGACUCGUAUCAUGGGACCAGUCGUUCUGUGAAUUUGCAGACUCAGAUGUUCCACUUUUGAGCCCGGGUGUUAUUUUAAGAUGCACGUUCAAAAAAAAAUUAUUAUUUUUUUUUUUUUAAAUACUUUAACAUAUUGCACACAUAAAUAAACCCACCUUUGCUCGGGUUCUCGAGACGACAACAUUUUGCUUGUUGUGUUUUGUAAAAGCCAUUUCCAUGUCACUACCCAGAAUUUACUGUGGCUUGUCACUGCUGGAUGCCAGGGAGUUGUAGAGUAAUAAACUUUGUGAAGAACAAUAAAAUGUGCAAUAUUUAAGAAAUUUAGUAAAAGCCAUUAACGUGUCAUUACUCUGAAUGCAAUGCAGUACUUCUGUCUCCUGAAUAUUAACGUGGUUGAAGAAGGUGGUUGAAGAAUAAAAUUAGGGUUGUCAAAACCUUUGGUAAAAGCUAUUAACAUGUCAUAACCCAGAAUUCAUUGUAGUGAUUCUCAUUGUGUUUUAUGUAGCAAAGUUUAGAAUAUUGAAACAUUUUUUUUAAAGCAAUUCCCAUGUCACCAUCUUACAUCAAUGGCUUUAUUUGCACUGUGCUGUAUGUCAAAAGGCUAUAAAUGAAGAAAUUAAUGAUUUUUUUAUUUUAUUUUUUUUUAAUAUGUGACACAAUUUUGUAUGCAGUUUGUGUAAAAAUAGUGGGCACAAAAUCAAAUAAAUUGUUAAAUAACAAAUGAGGGGUGGAAUAUGUAAUAUGCAUAUAACUUCAGAAGUCUGUGGAAUUUCUAAAUCUAUAACAUUUUGUGUAGAGACAUCAGAACUUUUCCUUUCCAGUACAAAAAUGCGAGAAGAACAUCUAUUUUCUCUAAAGUAAGCAAAGAGAGAGAGAGAGAGAGGAUGUUUUUUUUUUAAAUUCUUUAUUUUUCAUGUGCUCAGAUUCACAACAAGCGCGCAGAGCCACGACAGCUUCUGCACGCAUUUUCAUAACAUUUUGCAGUUUAGACAGCACAUUUUUUUAUAUAUAACAUGAGGAAUAUAGGCAGUCAAACAUAAAGGUAGUAUAGUGUAGCAUGCUAGACUGAACGUGCAUUUAACAUGGCUAGUAGCGCUGCUGCGCUGGGGUUUGUAUGUCUAAGGCAUUGCAUUAUUAAGAACGACAGCUGUGGUGUGAUUUGCACGUUAUCAACUGUUACGACAUGUCAGCAGCCCUACCGCUAGUGUUAAUUCAAACUGAAGGUGUCCCAUUAGACAAGACUGGUCAAUAACAAGAUACAUAAGCGGGUAUAGUAAAUAUAGUAGAUAUAUGUAUGAGGGACCAUGGUUAUAGACUCUUCGGGAGGUGAAAAAACAGCAUUUUUAAACCAAUUGUUACUUUAUGAAUAGCUAGCUUGUGGAGAGCAGUAAUGUGGAAGUCUAUUUAUAGCAAGACAUGCCUGGCAGACUCCGCACUCCUGCUUGUGCUUAUCCGAUCCCUUCUGGGCGCCUGGUACAUAGCCCGGGGGCCUCCAUCACACAGAACAUCAGAGGCAAGUGUCCGACGAAGCGCCAGGUUACCGGCUUAUGGUGGGGAAGUUUGUUCCGUCUGGUGGUCGGCACCGUCCCUGUGGGCUGGGCGCCAUAUAUACGGUGCGGUUUUGACGCGGCUUGAGGUGGGUGCUUGUCUUGAGGCAGGCUUUGCGUGUCCGUUUGUGUCUCCGAUCCCUUCUUCGGUGCCUUUUGAAGGGACUUCUAGUGACUGUUGGUCUGUGUCCGCCCUUUGGGUGCCGCAGGUAGUGGCGCAGGAUUAGACCGCUUGACGUUAGCUGUGGUCAGCGCCCUCUCCGAGAUCCCGGCCCUGAAGGCAGCAAGGGUAGCGUCCAGCUUGAAAAGUGUGUUAUUCAGCUGCUCCCUAGCAGUCCCCCCUGUUUUCCGGCUUGCUCGUUGCAUCAGCCAUUUUGGGGUUGGUGACUCUAGGAGCUUGUAGUCCCUGGGAUGUGUGAGUCAGCGGAGGGUGUGCUGCUGUUGCCGGGAUUUUGGGGGGGGGGGGAAGAAGGCUUGUGGGUGGUCCUCCGCAGUGUUAAUAUUGGCUUUUGGGAUGAGAUUGUAGCAUGAGAACCAAGUUUAUUUCGCUUAAACAGGGAUUUCAGGCUGGAGCUCAUAUUACACACGACUGAUCAGCUCCACAGCCAGGCUCUGCUCCCGUUUUUUGUAUUUUUUUAAUGUCAUACUUUCAAACAUGGCCAAUGGACAGCAAAAUACAUUUCUGUUUCAGGGAUAUGACUAGUGUUGUGGCCAAGGAUGGCUCUAUUCUGGGUUAUUUUAGGUGAUUACCAGCCCACCUUGACAGAGGUGGUCAUGGAGUAAAUAAGAGCAGGCGGGCAAGUCUGCCCAUCAAAAGGGGCCAAUAGUGUCCAGAAAUCUGCCGAAAGGUUAUAAAAUGCAGGACGAGGCAGUAGUGGGAUUCAAAAUUUUUAGUAACCAGUUCUGACUUUUCAGACACUCACAUCAACGCAGUCAUGCAUAUAUACCCUAAGGGGCAAAAACACCCCGGGGAGGGGAGACGUCAACAACAGCUCCUCCCUAGCCCAGAGCUCAGACCUCCCCAAGCUGCCUUCCCUAGAUCAAGUGGCCCCUGGAGACAACCACCUGGUGGAGAGGUCAGACUGCAAAUAGAAAAUUCUACCUUUUAUUACCUGCUGCUGGGAUCUCCAGGAACAAUGGUGCUUCUCAUGCAGUAAGUGUAAUCCAUAUAAUGAUGAAAUCCUGAGGAGAUGCACUUCACUUGAAGAGCACAGUAACUCACAUGAGUGCACAGCCCUCUGACAGCCAGUACCAGUUGCUGCCCAAAUCUCAGACAGCAGGGUGCUGUGCAGGCAGGGCCGCCAUCAGGGGGUGACAACCAUAAUGGUUGUCACAGGCCCGUCUGUCCUGGGGGGCCCGGACUGCUUUGGCAGUCCAGGGCCCCACAAUUACUCUCUGCACCUAUAUAUAGCAAUGAUCACUAUAUAUAGGUGCAGCCGCAGGCCCCCCAGGCUCCCUAUACUUGCAGUGAGGGCCCAGCGGACUGCAGCUGUACUUUACAGCAUUUCCCUCGCUCUCACUCCCGCAAGACGUGUGGCCGUUAGAGCGUUGCCAUGGGUUACCAUGGCAACGCGGCGCGCACACCACAUCUCGCGGGAGUGAGAGCAAGGGAAAUGCUGUAAAGUACAGCUGCAGUCCGCUGGGCCCCCUCUGCAAGUAUAGGGAGCCGGGGGGCCCCACAAUGCCACCGGACCACCAGGGAUCAUGGAAUCUACCCCCUCCCUGAACCAGGUAAGAAACAGGGAGGGGGGAAUAACAGUUAUUACAUUUACAUGCAUACACUACUAAACACACACACACUGCAUUCACUACACUAACACACACACUGUAUUCACUGCACUAACACACACACUGCAUCCACUACACUAACACACACUCACACUGCAUUCACUACACUAACACACACACUGCAUUCACUGCACUAACACACACUCUCAUUCACUAGACUGACACACACACUGCAUCCACUACAUUAACACACACACUGCAUUCACUACACUAACACACACACUGCAUCCACUGCACUAACACACACUGCAUCCACUACACUAACACACACACUGCAUUCACAACACUAACACACACACUGCAUUCAUUACACUAAAACACACUGCUUUAAUUACACUAACACACACACUGCAUCCACUACACUGACACACACACUGCAUCCACUACACUGACACACACUGCAUUCACAACACUGACACACACACUGCAUCCACUACACUGACACACACACUGCAUUCACUACACUGACACACACACUGCAUCCACCACACUGACACACACUCUGCAUUCAUUACACUGACACACACUCUGCAUUCACUACACUAACACACACACUGCAUUAAUUGCACUAACACACACUCUGCAUUCAUUAUAAUAACACAGUCUGCAUUCAUUGCACUGACACACAGUCUGCAUUCAUUACACUGACACACAGUCUGCAUUCAUUACACUAACACACACACUGCAUCCACUGCACUAACACACACUCUGCAUUCACUGCACUAACACACACUCUGCAUUCACUACACUGACACACACACUGCAUUAAUUACACUAACACACACACUGCAUCCACUACAUUAAUACACACACUGCAUUCACUACACUAACACACACUGAAUCCACUACACUAACACACACACUGCAUCCACUGCACUAACACACACUGCUUUCACUGCACUAACACACCCACUGCAUCCACAACACUAACACACACUUCAUUCAUUACACUAACACACACACACUGCAUUCAUUACACUAAUACACACACACUGCAUCCACUACACUGACACACACACUGCAUUCACUACACUGACACACACACUGCAUCCACUAUACUGACACACACUCUGCAUUCAUUACACUGACACACACACUGCAUUCAUUGCACUAACUCACACUCUGCAUUCAUUAUAAUAACACAGUCUGCAUUCAUUGCACUGACACACAGUCUGCAUUCAUUGCAUUGACACACACACUGCAUUCAUUGCACUGACACACACACUGCAUUCAUUACACUAACACACACUGCAUUCAUUGCGGGGGGCCGGGGAAUCUAUAACCUACUUACUGACCAUUUAACUUAAGUGAAAAAAGUAAUUUAGAACAAAAAUCUAAGUAUUUUAGUUACACAAACACACCUAUGAACAUCUGUAUACAGAGGGACCUGGGUUUACAAACGCCUCGGUUAACAUAAUUUUCGGUUUACAAAUGAAAAUCCAUUGAAAAUAAUGCCUCGGUUUACAAAAAAAUUUCGCAAAACAAAGCAAGUUUCCCCAGGAUGCAUUGCACCUGGGAGGUUUAUAGCACCGCUCGCUGCAUGCUGGAGCCUGUGGGUAGCACGUGGCGUAGAGUGUGGAGGUGUUGGAGCAGCUUUUGCAUUGAGUUUUGGAGCCAUUCUGGAAAUUGUUUGCAGUUGUUUUGGGACUUUUUGGUGCAUUUCUCAAGUUGUGGAACGGUAGGGAGCUGAGCUUUGUCGUUUGCAUGCCUUUUAUUGUGUGUUCUGCAUUGUGACUUGGUUUCCAUGCCAGCUCAUUUUGACUUUUUUUCUGACCUCCAGAACGGAUUAAUUGGUUUCCAAUGGGAAACCACGUUUCGGUUUACAGAUUUUUCUCAAUAAGAAAAGUCCCGGAGAACACAUUAAAUUCGUAAACCGAGGUCCCACUGUACUUUGUAUCUUAAAGACAUAUCCCAGUAAGUUUUCUAUAGUGGAGCUUAGUUUUACAGUAGUAAACACUGAAAAUUCGUAAACCGAGGUCCCACUGUACUUUGUAUCUUAAAGACAUAUCCCAGUAAGUUUUCUAUAGUGGAGCUUAGUUUUACAGUAGUAAACACUGAAUAUUCUGGCUAUGUGGGUAAAAUAAUGUGGAUUCACGCAUGUAUAUGUGAUGUGGCUAUAUGGAUAUGUAAUUUAGUUAUAUGAAUGUAGCUGUACACAUAUGUAAUGUGGCUAUGCGUAUGCAGUAUAUGUGAUGGUACUAUAUAGAUAUGUAAUGUGGCCAUAUGGCUGUUAUUACAUGGAUAUGUUAUGUUGCUAAAUGGAUGCAGUGUAAUCCAAAAAUUUACUACACAAUGUUAUCCCGACCCAGGGAUUAAAGGAACACUCCACUGCCCAAAUGAAAAAAAAAAAUCGCUGUUUUGUAGAUUUACCCCCAAUAAAUACAUGCAUUCAUUUUUCAUGUUCAGUGGGGGGGUUAUAUCAUAAGAGACCUUGCAAAGGCUGCAGAUCUUAUAAACUGCAUAGAAAUCGUGACUUUUAUAAACUGGGGUUAAACUGGGAUACUCCACACCCAUAAAGCAAGCUGAAGUGCUAUUGGGGUGCGGAGUGGUCCUUUAAGAGACACUGGCUUAGGGAUUGGUAAAACCGUAACAGUGCGCUUUGUAUUACUAUUAUUGUAUAUUGUAUUAUGCACGCCAGCAACUUCCUGUACUUGGACAGCUCUCUUAUUAUCAAUUACCCGCUGCAGCUCUAAUGCUGGGUGAGUGGUGAAUGGGAACAUUAAAGCUUUUAUCCAAACCAUAAGAUGGCAAACAGAUGUUGCCAGGAACGCACAUAGCAUACGGACUUCUAACGACGGCAGAUACUUCAUGUCUCUGCCUACAGUGUGCCCCCUCCUUGCUCGAGCAAGUCUUGUGAGGAGAACAUGUAAGGGUUGUGGAACGAAUAAAGAAGAUAACAGGUUUGCAAUGCUGCCAGUGGUAGUGUUUACGAUUUGUGUAUCGGUAGCAUGUGUAAGCGAAUGGCAUUCUACCUGAGUAUCACUGAAAGAAAGAAAUAUGUAGGUAAAAGAUAAACGUGCCAAUGAGCAAUAUUUGAAGGUACCCUCCAGACCCAGCUUGCUGAAGUGCUUUAUGUGUGAAGAGUGUGUCCACUUUGUUUCUUUUUCGUUUUAGACAAAGUGCAGAUUUCAAUACGGCAUUUCAGAAUGUUUGUAAACAAUAGGCGCCAAGAUACUUCCAGGUGGCAGAACGCGAGCGGCUUCCACUGACCUGAACAGAUCCAGCCGGUCUGGCCAGGGAACACCCCCAGUAUACCCAGCAUCCGCUACUAUUGUCAGACUCCCUGCCUGGAGACCCAUCCCUGGCCAUUGCUAUGCCUGGGAGCCCACUCUGCCCUUAAAACUUCUGGAACCCUUCCUGGUCCUGUUUAUGGGGGUCCCCCCUGUGGAUCUCUGUAAGUACAGUUCUGAGGUGCUUUCUGUCUCCUUGCUGCUAUGGAAAAGUUUAUUUGAUUUGUGCUUGGCUCAGGGAUUUAAAUAGCACUGCAAGGGUUAAAUCCCCCCCAUCCCCAAUGGCAGCUAGAGGGCUUGGGAGAGCUGCUGGUCUCUGGCCCCUGAGGGGUUAAAUCCUCAGGAGAUGGGGUGAAAUGCAUUUAUUAACCCAUUGUUGGUGUGAUUGGAAAGCAAUGGUAUGGAGGUUAUACAGUACUGACUGUGUGGGAUUUUAACCUCUUCCAUUCCAAAGAAAAUGGGGAUUUAAAGGAAAUUUGCUACUUACAUCAGUCUUCUGAAUUCAUUAAUUUGCCGUGCAGGUAUGUCGGUUUAUACACCUGGGAUAUCACAGGACAUGGAGGGUGAAAGGGCAGAUUCUAUGGGUAUGGAGGGGUGAUUUUCAGAUUUUGUCUGGUCUAAGGGAAAAAUUACCAGAAACUAAUAAGAAAAGGCUAAGUAUUAUGUAUUUUAAAGUCUCAGAUUCAUUUAAAUCAGGAAUCAAGCCUUUAUUGAAAAGAUUAACCCUCUAAAUACCGAAGUUGUGUUUUAAUUAAUUAUCUGCUGGCACAAAAGGGGUUAAAUCAGAUCAGUUUAUUUUAUUUUUUUAUAUAUUUUUCAUUUGAUAUUUUGUUAUGCCCUUUCUGAAAUAUAGCCCAAAUAUUACAGUUAACUUUUUAGACAGCUUGUUAAUCACAAGUGCUACCAGCUGUUUCGAUUUUGCUUGAAUCAACACAAAGGAUAAAACAAACAUCGAAUUCUUGCAGAGGAAGGCUAGGUGUCUCUGAAUCGUGUUUAAAUAUGUAAAUGAGUGCUCUUCACUGUGUUAGUUCAGUACAUGUAAAUUGUAUACUAGUGGUGCCAUCGGAGAACGCAUUGGCUUUUGCCACCCAGAAGAACGUUUAUUAUUGUUGUGACGUCAUGGUGAAUUGUCGUAUAGAAAUUGACACUUUUAUGAUUUUACCUGGUUACACCCCCCUGGCUUUCAAUCAGACAGCAGGUCCUGUUAAUUCCUGGUUUGCUUAGCUCAGUGGAGAUAAAUUCAAGAGGCAGCAAUUGCCCAGAGCACCUGCCUUGUAAAGACUUCUCAUUGAGCUGCAUUGGGAAAUCUGUGAUUGGACAGUCACAAAAGGUCUGGGUGGAGUUAGAAGGGGAGGAGGCUUGCAAAGGCUGCAGACAAGACAUCUGCAGCUUUUGCAAGCUAUUUUUGGUUAUAUGCCUAUUAAAAAAAUGCAUAAUUAAAUGCAAGUAAGUUUUCAUUGGGAGUAUAUCUACUAAACAGUUUUAUUUUUAAAACAUUUUUAUUUGGGCAGUUGCUAAGUGCCUGCUGUAAUAAUUCUAGGUUGCAUGAGAGAGGGAAACCUAUGAUGAACACAACCUGUGUUACCACCUGAUUUUCCUCCAAAGAGCUACAAAUACACCCCUGAAUCAAAUACUGCAUGCACUCGCUCACUGAAAGUCCACACAAAGCUAGUGAUUCCUUUGGUAAAAUUCCACACAAACACUACCCUAUAUUUACAUACUCGAGACACUGUACACAUAUUAACCCUUGUAUUCACACACUUUGAUAUAUAGAAAAAAUACUCUUAGUUCACACACACAUAUUCUGACAGUUCACACACACAGUGACACAAUACGCAAACACUCCUGCACUUACACAAUCAUUGUAAUGCCACACAAAAACAGUCCUGCAUUCUAACAUGCAUACUGACACUUCAUAUACACCUGUAUUCACAUACACACUUACAUAUACUCCACGCAUAUACCACUUUAUUCCAAUACUCACACAUGCACUGUGCAUAAGAUUUUACACUUCGUUAUUAAGGCAUAAGUUUUGUUGCAAUUUGGUUGUCAUUUCAAUGUGAGAAACUGCUCAGUUAAUUAAUCCCACAGCCUUCCAUUGUAUUUAUCUGUAAGUGUUCUAAAAAAUCACUCUCACAUCAAAAAUGACAAUUCUAUCUAAAGAUACUCUCAAAAAAAAAAAAUACAUUUCUAACAGCUGACAUUCCCGAAAGCACACGAGAGAUUCUCCUAAACCAUUUAUUCUAUUGAAUUUGUAGUGAGUUAGUGGCACAAAAAUAUUUAUAUAUCGCUAGCUAUUUCUUUGACAAACCGUGAGAGAUCUGUCCCUAUUAUUAUUCUAAUAUUUUAAAAUUGACAGAAACAAAAUCAUCGUACCUGAAACUUAUACCCGCAUUUACUGUCGCAUAUUGGUAGAAAAGCUGGCAGAGGAGGAUAAUUUGUAGAACGAAUACACUUCGUUAAUUAAUGGGAAAAAAAAAUACAAAGAAAAGUGGAGAAAACAAACCCUACUUUUUUUGUUUUUUUUAUUCUUUUCUGCUAAUCGGCAUUUUGCUAAUUGCAUUUUAUUCUUCUGUACAAAUACAGGCCCCUUCUGUUUCAUUAAUUCUAAUUGGAUAUUCCUGGAUACCAGAGAUGGGAAGAGAUUUUUGUUGGCACACGGACGUGGCUGUUCCCCUGGCUCUGUGACUGUUAUUGAUGAUGUAAAGAGAACGUUUGCUUCUAAACUCGGGGACAUGUGCAGCCUCUGUUGCUGGGCAGUGCGGGACGCGCAGGAGCAAAUGCCUAAAGCUUUCUGACUAUUUGUUUGUAUUGUUUACCAUCUUUCCCUACACAAGGUGUGCAACUUCACAAACCAAACAGCGUCCUUUAAGGCAUUAUCUGGCCAAACGGAGGAAAUAACCAAAAUAUGUAUUAUGGGCGCUAGCACUACACAAUGUCUAUAUUAGUUAUACUUUUAAAGAAAUAGUCACAUUUCUCUAAAUCUGACUGCCAUUCUGGGGUCAAGAAGGAUUUUUUUUCCUAGCUUGUUGCAAAAUUGUGCUUCAAACUGUUUUUUUUUUGCCUUCUUUUGGAUCAACAGCAAAAAACAAAUGUGAGGAAGGCUGAACUUGAUGGACGCAAGUCUCUUUUCAGCUAUGUAACAUUAUCUAUCUAUCAAUCUAUGUAUCUAUCAUCUAUCUAUCAAUCAAUCUCUCUAUUUCUAUCUAUCUAUCUAUCUAGUUUAUUGAUCCAUGCAUCUCUCAAUCUAUAUCUCUGACUGUUUAUGUG